GUGGGGGAUAACGUUCCCCUAAGAACGCUAAUACCGCAUACGUCCUACGGGAGAAAGCAGGGGACCUUCGGGCCUUGCGCUAUCAGAUGAGCCUAGGUCGGAUUAGCUAGUUGGUGAGGUAAUGGCUCACCAAGGCGACGAUCCGUAACUGGUCUGAGAGGAUGAUCAGUCACACUGGAACUGAGACACGGUCCAGACUCCUACGGGAGGCAGCAGUGGGGAAUAUUGGACAAUGGGCGAAAGCCUGAUCCAGCCAUGCCGCGUGUGUGAAGAAGGUCUUCGGAUUGUAAAGCACUUUAAGUUGGGAGGAAGGGCAGUAAGUUAAUACCUUGCUGUUUUGACGUUACCAACAGAAUAAGCACCGGCUAACUUCGUGCCAGCAGCCGCGGUAAUACGAAGGGUGCAAGCGUUAAUCGGAAUUACUGGGCGUAAAGCGCGCGUAGGUGGUUUUGUAAGUUGGAGGUGAAAUCCCCGGGCUCAACCUGGGAACUGCCUCCAAAACUGCAUGACUAGAGUACGGUAGAGGGUAGUGGAAUUUCCUGUGUAGCGGUGAAAUGCGUAGAUAUAGGAAGGAACACCAGUGGCGAAGGCGACUACCUGGACUGAUACUGACACUGAGGUGCGAAAGCGUGGGGAGCAAACAGGAUUAGAUACCCUGGUAGUCCACGCCGUAAACGAUGUCAACUAGCCGUUGGGUACCUUGAGUACUUAGUGGCGCAGCUAACGCAUUAAGUUGAC
rnacentral:rRNA from 1 species